ACACACACACACACACACACAGACUAUCAUAUCAUAUUACGAAGUAUGAUACAUGCCGUUGCUUUUGCUUUUGCCAUUGCAUACACAGAUACGAGUGCUUAAACGAUUUUAAGCAGCACGUAACCCACAAGCUGCAAGAUGACGAUAAGGACGUGUGCAAGCAAUCCUCAAUGUGGAAUCCACCCACAUCACAGAAACUUCUGAACCACGUGGGUUAUGCUUAUAAAGAUGGAUCUUUUAGCUUCGAUACCCUCAUGAGUUUCCGAGUCAAGAAUCAGAAACCCUUAGAAUUGGAAGAGCCAGAGGCCUUAUAAAGAUGACGAGCAAAGGAAGCAAAGAUAUAGAGAAGGACGCGUCCUCGCCUUCUUCCUCCUUCUCAGCGUCACCUGAGAGCAACAUGAAGACCAGCUCCAGAAUUGCUGAUAAAGACAAAGCAAUUGCUCAGUACAGUGCUGACGCGGGGAUCUUGGCUGAGUAUGAGCAAUCUGGUGUGUCGGGAAAGUGGUUCGAUUACUCGAGGUCGGUUCUUGAUGCUCCGAAAUCUGUGUCGGACGAGAAAAUGACGGCUUACUUGUCGAGAAUCCAAAGAGGUGGUCUUGUUCAGCCAUUUGGUUGUAUGCUUACAAUAGAAGAACCCACUUUUCGGAUUAUUGGGUACAGUGAGAAUUGUUUUGAAAUGUUGGGUUUAAACGGAAAUCCUCAUUCGAAAGUGAGUCUGAUUGGAGUUGAUGCUACUUCCCUAUUCACGCCUUCUUCCGGGGCUUCACUUGCAAAAGCUGCGUCAUCUAGGGAAAUUUCUCUUCUAAAUCCCAUUUGGGUCUGUUCCAUAGCAACCCAGAAGCCUUUUUAUGCCAUAAUGCAUCGGAUUGAUGUGGGAAUUGUAAUUGAUUUGGAGCCUGCAAGGUCUAGUGAUCAUGCAUUGUCACUUGCUGGCGCUGUACAGUCUCAGAAACUGGCUGUACGGGCAAUUUCAAGGUUGCAAGCUCUUCCUGGGGGAGAUAUUGGUGCUUUGUGCGAUACUGUUGUUGAAGAAGUUCAAAAGCUUACUGGAUAUGACAGGGUUAUGGUGUAUAAGUUCCAUAAGGAUGAUCAUGGGGAGGUUGUGUCUGAAAUCAGGAGGUCAGAUUUAGAACCCUUUUUGGGUUUGCAUUAUCCUGCCUCGGAUAUCCCUCAAGCCGCUCGCUUCUUGUUUAAGCAGAACCGAGUCAGGAUGAUUUGUGAUUGCCAUGCAAAACCAGUUAAGGUGAUUCAAUGUCAAGAGUUAAAGCAGCCUCUCUGCUUGGUCAAUUCUACCCUUAGGUCACCACAUCAAUGUCAUGCACAGUACAUGGCUAACAUGGGCUCAAUUGCCUCUCUUGUUAUGGCAGUUAUUGUCAAUGGAAAUGAUACCACAAAGCUUUGGGGAUUGCUUGUUUGUCACCACACUUCACCGCGUCAUGUCCCUUUCCCACUUCGCUAUGCUUGUGAGUUCCUGAUGCAGGCUUUUGGCCUGCAGCUUUACAUGGAGAUGCAAUUAGCAUCACAGAUGGCCGAGAAGAAAACUCUUAAAACCCAAACCUUACUAUGCGACAUGCUCCUCCGUGAUGCUCCUUUUAGUAUUGUUACUCAAUCUCCUAGCAUAAUGGAUCUUGUGAAGUGUGAUGGUGCUGCACUGCUUUAUGGUGGAAACUGUUGGCUGUUAGGCACAACCCCAACUGAAUCACAGGUGAAAGACAUUGCAGAGUGGCUACUUAGUAGUCAUGGGGACUCAACCGGUUUGAGCACAGAUAGUUUGGCCGAUGCUGGGUACCCGGAUGCUGCUUCACUGGGGGAUGCAGUUUGUGGCAUGGCAACAGCAAGAAUCAAUUCAAGAGAUGUCUUGUUCUGGUUCAGGUCACACGCUGCAAAGGAAAUCAAAUGGGGAGGAGCCAAGCAUCAUCCAGAGGAUAAAGAUGAUGGAGGAAAGAUGAACCCACGACUUUCAUUUAAAGCAUUUCUUGAGGUAGUCAAAUGCAAAAGUGUGCCAUGGGAAGUAUCAGAAAUCAAUGCUAUCCACUCAUUACAGAUUAUAAUGAGAGAUUCAUUCCAAGAUGCUGGGAACUGUGGUCCUAUAACUCUGACUAAUGUGCAGCAGGGGGACACUGAUAUGGGCGGGAAUGGGAUAGUUGAACUCAGUUCAGUGGCAUUUGAAAUGGUUAGAUUAAUUGAGACAGCAACAGUUCCAAUUUUUGGGGUUGAUUCAGCUGGUAUAAUCAAUGGAUGGAAUGCAAAAAUUGCUGAACUGACAGGUCUUCGAACCAGUGAAGCUAUGGGAAAAUCCCUUGUAAAUGAAGUUGUCCAUGAGGACUCACGGGAAAAUGUUGACAAUAUUCUAAAAAGAGCUCUGCAAGGUCAGGAGGACAAAAAUGUUGAGUUGAAGUUGAAACACUUUGGUCUCCAUCAGCAAAAAUCAGUUGUAUAUAUUAUGGCCAAUGCCUGCACAAGUAGGGAUUACACAAAUGCUGUUGUUGGGGUAUGCUUUGUGGGUCAAGAUAUCACUCAUGAGAAAUCUGUUCUGGACAAAUUUAUCAAGUUGGAAGGUGAUUACAGAGCUAUCAUACAGAGUCCCAACCCACUAAUUCCUCCUAUAUUUGCUUCAGAUGUGAAUGCCUGCUGUUCUGAGUGGAAUGUAGCCAUGGAAAGGCUAACUGGUUGGAAGAGAGAUGAAGUUAUAGGGAAAAUGCUUCCUGGGGAAAUCUUUGGAGGUUUGUGUCGGUUCAAAAGUCAAGAUACAAUGACUAGUUUCAUUAUUUUAUUGUAUCAAGGAAUCAGUGGAAAAGAUUCAGAGAAGUUCCCAUUUGGAUUUUUUAAUAGAAAAGAGGAACUUGUGGAGGUUCUCUUAACAGUGAACGGGAGGACUGAUGCAGGUGGAAAUAUAAUUGGCUGUUUCUGUUUCUUGCAGAUUAUAUCACCAGACCUGCACCGGCCCUCUGAAGAACAAAGGCCACAAUGCGGGGUAAGUGAUACACCAUCAGGAAGGUUUUCAGAAUCAAGGAAAUUAGGUUAUAUACUACAAGAGAUAAAGAAUCCUUUAAAUGGAAUGCGUUUCACACAAAAACUUCUUCAAAAUACAGCUGUCUCAGAAAAUCAGAAACAAUUUCUUGACACCAGUGAUGCUUGUGAGAGGCAAAUUAUGACAGUUAUUGAGGAUGCAGAUUUUGCAAGUAUUGAUGAAGGAACUUUGCAGCCAAAAGUGGAGGAGUUUCUUCUUGGAAAUAUCUUAGAUGCCAUUGUCAGUCAAGUCAUGAUCUUGAUUAGAGAAAGAAACUUGCAGCUCUUUCAUGAAAUUCCUGAUGAAAUCAAAACACUUGCUCUAUUCGGUGAUCAAAUUAGGCUUCAAGUGGUCUUGUCUGACUUUUUGAUUAAUGUGGUCUGCCAUACACCAUCUCCCAAUGGCUGGGUGGAAAUAAAGAUUUCACCUGGGCUGAAGAUAAUACAAGAUGGAAGUGAGUUUAUUCAUCUGCAAUUCAGAAUGACCCAUGCUGGUAAAGGUCUUCCUUCUGAAAUUCUUCAGGAAAUGUUUGAAGGUGGGAAUCAAUGGACGACACAGGAAGGUCUGGGGCUAUACAUGUCAAGAAAAAUCCUCAUUAGGAUGAAUGGCCAUGUCAACUAUGUAAGAGAACACAACAAGUGUUGCUUCCUCAUUGAUAUUCAACUUAGAACAAGAAAAGAAAGGCAGAGGAUUCUUCAAGCAGUAGAGACAAGCAUGUUAACUUAGAUUUGUUCACCUGAUGCUCCUCAGAGUUAUCAACAAAUAAGUCUCUAACCCAGGUUAAGGACCUUGCAGAUCUCUGGACGCUUUGCAUGCUUUUAUUAUAUCAAUACAGAAAGUACUACCAAAUUUUGAAUUUGGGCUUCCGAGGUGCAUAGCUUUUUACACCAUUGAUUUGUAGGAGCUUCAAUUGGGCGGAGACAUCCGUGGACGAGAUGAAAAUGUGUGGACUGUUGCAUGCCCAAACGGCUAUUGACAAAGGAGAAAGAAAAUGGGUAGAAAGAGUAUGAUAUAGGCUAGUGAAAUCGAGUUUUUUUACUCACAAUUUUACUCAAAUUUAAUCGGAGGAACCUGAACUCUCGAACUUGGAUGAUUUUACAAGUUAAAUGGAGAAUUUAGCAACCAUUUAUAGUUUAA